GACGAACGCUGGCGGCGUGCUUAACACAUGCAAGUCGAACGGAAAGGCCCUGCUUGCAGGGUACUCGAGUGGCGAACGGGUGAGUAACACGUGGGUGAUCUGCCCUGCACUUCGGGAUAAGCCUGGGAAAAUGGGGCUAAUACCGGAUAGGAGCCAUUUUUAGUGUGAUGGUUGGACAGGUUUUUCGGUGUAGGAUGAGCUCGCGGCCUAUCAGCUUGUUGGUGGGGUAAUGGCCUACCAAGGCGGCGACGGGUAGCCGGCCUGAGAGGGUGGACGGCCACAUUGGGACUGAGAUACGGCCCAGACUCCUACGGGGGGCAGCAGUGGGGAAUAUUGCACAAUGGGCGCAAGCCUGAUGCAGCGACGCCGCGUGGGGGAUGACGGCCUUCGGGUUGUAAACUCCUUUCGCUAGGGACGAAGCUUUUUGUGACGGUACCUAGAUAAGAAGCACCGGCUAACUACGUG
rnacentral:rRNA from 1 species